GAUGAACGCUGGCGGCGUGCUUAAUACAUGCAAGUCGAGCGAACAGACGAGGAGCUUGCUCCUCUGACGUUAGCGGCGGACGGGUGAGUAACACGUGGAUAACCUACCUAUAAGACUGGGAUAACUUCGGGAAACCGGAGCUAAUACCGGAUAAUAUAUUGAACCGCAUGGUUCAAUAGUGAAAGACGGUUUUGCUGUCACUUAUAGAUGGAUCCGCGCCGCAUUAGCUAGUUGGUAAGGUAACGGCUUACCAAGGCGACGAUGCGUAGCCGACCUGAGAGGGUGAUCGGCCACACUGGAACUGAGACACGGUCCAGACUCCUACGGGAGGCAGCAGUAGGGAAUCUUCCGCAAUGGGCGAAAGCCUGACGGAGCAACGCCGCGUGAGUGAUGAAGGUCUUCGGAUCGUAAAACUCUGUUAUUAGGGAAGAACAAAUGUGUAAGUAACUAUGCACGUCUUGACGGUACCUAAUCAGAAAGCCACGGCUAACUACGUG
rnacentral:rRNA from 1 species